UACGUAGGGGGCAAGCGUUGUCCGGAUUUAUUAGGCGUAAAGAGCGUGUAGGCGGUUUGGUAGGUCCGCUGUGAAAACUCGAGGCUCAACCUCGAGACGCCGGUGGAAACCAUCAGACUAGAGUCCGGAAGAGGAGAGUGGAAUUCCUGGUGUAGCGGUGAAAUGCGCAGAUAUCAGGAAGAACACCCGUGGCUAAGGCGGCUCUCUAGUACGGUACUGACGCUGAGACGCGAAAGCGUGGGGAGCGAACAGG
rnacentral:rRNA from 1 species